rnacentral:lncRNA from 1 species
GUAACAACUGAAAUGACAUCAAUGAUCCAUCACCUGUGCUUCUUCCACUGCUGAGGGGGAAAAAAACCCAAAUCCUCCUAUGUAGUUGAGUCCCGAAGGAAAAUCAAGACAUUAUUACCAGACAUCCAUUAGCCAGAAGAAUGCUCUAAAAAUGCUCUUUUGGUCCAGUGGUAUAGACACUGACAUGUUCAAUGUACCAGUGCAAUUAAAAUAUAUACAUUUACAAUUAUCCUGCCAAAAAAAGCACUUAAAAUAACUAUGUAUUAAACCAAUUAUUCACUCAUCCAUUCACUCUUUUUGCAUCACUACAGUCACAAGGACAAAUGAAUAAAAGAACUUCUAGAGUAUCUGAGGGGUGUGGGUGGGGGGAGAGGUGGGAGAGGAUUAAAAAAAAAAAAAAAAACUUCUAGUAACAAAGAAAAAAAUCCAAACCUCACCCCAACUUUAUGGGUUAUUAUGUGCUAAAAUGACAAUAAAAGGGUCAUGAGCUGUCUGAAAUGCAAUGACAAAAUGACAACUGAAGCAUUCAAAAAAAA